rnacentral:rRNA from 1 species
UACGGUGGGGGCAAGCGUUGUUCGGAAUUACUGGGCGUAAAGGGCUCGUAGGCGGCCAACUAAGUCGGAUGUGAAAUCCCCAGGCUUAACCUGGGAACUGCAUCCGAUACUGGAUGGCUUGAAUUCGGGAGAGGGAUGCAGAAUUCCAGGUGUAGCGGUGAAAUGCGUAGAUAUCAAGUGGAACACCAGUGGCGAAGGCGAAUCCCUGGAAAAUACCUGACACUGAGGCACGAAAGCUAGGGGAGCAAACAGG